rnacentral:ncRNA from 1 species
GGUGAUGUCUUCCUUACCUUUAUCAAUGGGGGCACUCGGCUCUACCGUGGGCAGCUUCUGCAGCUGCCUUAGAUGCAAGUCAUCGAUGGCUGGGCGUGAGGGCGGGUUAAAUGCCC